GAGAAUGGAUUUAAAGGGGCAAGAGGAGGAUAGUCAGCAUAGUCAUAAACACAGUCCUUUUUAAAAAUGAGGCCCAAAUGAGUAGAAAGAAUAAAAUGAUAAAAUGCAAGUUAUCCAAAUAUCUUGGGCAUAUGAGUCAGGAAAGCCGGGAACUGCAAGAAGACAUCUAAAUUCUCUGGGAGGGUGAGGUCUGUUAAAAACUGCCAGUUUUUUAGAGAAUUGGAAUAGGGCCAGGGUAAGUGAGAAGGAAUCAGUGUUUCCAGCUCCAAAUGCCUGGGAAAAGCAACGUUAGCAGAAACCAGGAUACUCAUCACUAAUAGCAAAACAGAGAGCUUGCCCCAGGAUGCUGGAGACUGGUCUGCCUGCACAGGAGUUUGGCCAAUUUCUAUUGACAUACCUUCAAGAUCGCUGAUUCUUUCCUCUGCCUUGCCCAGUCUACUGCACUUCCCAGGCCCUCCACUACGGUGUUGUAUAGAAGUGGUUGGAGAUGUCAGCCUUGAUGUGUUUCUGAUCUUAGAGGAAAGCAUUACAUCUUCCACCAGCAAAUACAAUGUUUCAUCACAGAUACCCUUUAUCAAAUUAGCCCUGAGCUAACUACUGUCAAUCCUCCUCUUUUUUGCUGAGGAAGCCUGGCCCUGAGCUAACAUCAUGCCCAUCUUCCUCUACUUUAUACGUGGGACGCCUACCACAGCAUAGUGUGCCAAGCUGUGCCAUGUCCGCACCCGGGAUCCAAACCAGCGAACCCUGGGCCACUGAGAAGCGGAACGUGCACACUUAACCACUGCACCACCGGGCCAGCCCCCAAUCUCCUCUUCUUAAUUGGAGUGUUAAACUCCUUAAGGUUUAAUGUAAUUAAUGAUUUGUUUGGGUUUGGCUGUCCCAUUUUAGUUUUGUUUUCUUCUUGUCUCCUCUAUUUUUUGGUACCUCUAUUUCACUUUUCAUGAAUUUUAUUUGAAUG
rnacentral:lncRNA from 1 species